GGUUUACCUGUGUGACUGCGUACCUUUUGUAUAAUGGGUCAGCGACUUAUAUUCUGUAGCAAGGUUAACCGAAUAGGGGAGCCGGAGGGAAACCGAGUCUUAAUUGGGCGUUAAGUUGCAGGGUAUAGACCCGAAACCCGGUGAUCUAGCCAUGGGCAGGUUGAAGGUUGGGUAACACUAACUGGAGGACCGAACCGACUAAUGUUGAAAAAUUAGCGGAUGACCUGUGGCUGGGGGUGAAAGGCCAAUCAAACCGGGAGAUAGCUGGUUCUCCCCGAAAGCUAUUUAGGUAGCGCCUCGUGAAUUCAUCU
rnacentral:rRNA from 1 species